rnacentral:lncRNA from 1 species
AUUUAACCAGGUCUUCAGUUUGGGGUCAGAAACGUGCUGCAACUCCCACACCAGUCUGCAAACAUCUGGCGUCCCAGAUGGGAGCAAUAACAACUCCGCUCUUAUUUUCAUAACUGCAUUGCAGAAGAUGUUCACUGGUUUCCUCCUCGGUCUACCAGGAUUCUGACAGGUGCCCUCCAAGAAUGGUGGGUGUCUCGGCCUCUGGCUCCAUCCACUCCUGGACAUCUAGCUGGGUAGUGCUUUGCUUAAGCUCUGACCCUCCCGUCACACAUAGCCUGCAUCGGCCUGAUCAGCACCCAGAUGGGCUCACUCCAGCCACCGUAAAGGUGCAACAUUGCAAACAACCUGCCUCAGCCUCUCUACUGGGGUUCCUCCAACCACUUCCAUGAGAGACCUUGGACAGGAACCCAAAGCUUUUUGCAGGCACUGCCUAUCAGAUGUGGAAGAAAACAGCAAGGCAAGAAGAGGCAGUGACCCAGGAAAGGCCCACCAGCUCCAGAAGUUGCCUACUCCACAAUACGGAGAUUGCUCAUUUCUUUUAAGGACCAUUCAUUUGAAUUAUGCAAAUAAUUCAUUGAAAGUUGGGAAAUUUUAAAUUCCUAGUGGAAAUACACACACACAACUAUCUAGGAUACUAAUGUUCCUUUUUUGAGUUUUUUAAAGUUAGCUCUGGUUAAGAGCGAUUUCUAAACUUCUUGAAGGUUGGGCUGGUAGACUUCACAAAAUGAGGGCAAGACAUGGAGGGUGGAGAGAGAGAGAAAGAAUUAAAAAGUACAGGACACCCAGUUAAAUUUGAAUCUCAGACCAUGCUAUGCUCAUUAUUUUUUACUCCACAAUGCUUAAAAAACAGAUUUGUAUGUAGUAGUUUUCCCCAAAGUUAUUUGUUAAACUGAAUUGGACAUCAUUUCAACGUAUUUGCCUAUUUAUUAAUGUAGCGCAUACAUAGCACUAACUAGGGGCUAAGCACUCUUCUAAGUGCUUUACAAAAUUAUUUAUUACAAAUUUAUUUACAAAUUUAUACAACUUAUUUAAUUUAGGCAACUGAAUCACGAAUAUAGAAAAUCACAGAUAAUAGUUUCUCUCUCUUUAGAAUUUUAGAUCUCUGGUAUCUUUCUUCAUAGGAUGAACACAAUUUGAAUCUGCUUGCCAUCACUGUAAAGUUUUGUAUAUGUAAUUUUUCUUUGAUUAUGAAAGUAGUACAUGUUCCAGUAAAAAAUUAGGAAAAUACAGAAAAGUGCAAAGGAGAUAAUGAAAUCACUCUUCACAGAGAUAAUCCACAUUAGAAUUUUUCAUUAGACAUACAUUUUUGAAUAGCUAUGAAAUAACUAGCUGCAAUUUCUGCACAUCUAUCCAAAUAACAUCCCAGGCCCAGUCAUUCUCCAUCCUAUCAUCCUAUUUUAUUGCAGUCAUUACAGUUAUCACUAUCUGGAAUUACCUCAUUUCAGAGAGUGAAAACUAAAUAGUUUUCAUUUCUGCUGUCUCCUGCUACUAGAAUCAAACCCCACUUUAUGUCCCCAGUUCCAAGUACAUAGUCGAUGCUCAAUGAAUAUUUCUUUUUUUUUCUUUUUUUUUUCCAGACAGAGUCUCGCUCUGUCGCCCAGGC